ACAGCCAUAUCACCCUGCAGCCCAAGACUGGUUGCCCACUGAAGCUAAGCAGGGUUGAGCCUGGUGAGUACCUGGAUGGGGGACCUGCUGGGGAAAACUAGGUUGCUGUCAGAA
rnacentral:rRNA from 1 species